AGUGUUUGCGCGUGAAACGGUGAUUUGUCAACGAUUUCAUUUGAAAAAAAAACGCGUCUUGGAAAAAUCCAGUAAAAGAAAAAAAUUCGAGCGGCGCGCCGCAAGAAUUACAGGAGAGCACGUGGCGGUGCUUGAAGUCUAGUUCUCCGCGCCUCUCGCUUCCAGUAUUCGUCUGCCCGUCUAGAGGAGUGAGUGUUGUUCUGCUGUAGCACUGGCGAUCGCGCGCGCGCCUUCUAGCCUUUUUUCGUAAUCCGGACGAGCCCGACGUUGGCGGCGCCAAGCGAGAAGAGAUGAGGUGGGAGGCCGUCGACCCGUUAUAAAUGGAACUAGCAAGACAACAUUUCUUGAAUCGUUUCUUGUGUUAUUAUUCGCAGCGUGUCGGCGUACUAGCCCGCAUGUUUGCUCGCGGCGUGACCGGAACGUCAUCCACCGAUAUUAUUAUCUCCAUGGUCCAGAGGAUGCAAUCGAAUCGUGGCGACCGUGGAAAGUGAAGUUUUCGAAAGGAAAAAAGAGAAAUCGAAGAAGCGAGAAAUCGAGGGACAGAAAGUGGCAUUUUUGACGACGUGAGGAACGACGAUCGCUGCCAGUGUGAAACUCUCGACGCAUAUUAUAGUGCCGCGAUUUCAGUAAGUGGGAACGAAAAUUCGCGAAUAUACACAAAAGAAGUGGCGAUACAAAAGUAGUGGAGUUUUUAAAGUUUGAAAACGUGAAAAGUGAUCAAAAUUCGAAAGUUGUGUUUCAUUGUUUGGUCAAUACGACAAACUCUCAGUAUCGCGAUUGCAUGGUCGUUUAAAUUGGUUGUCACAAUUCGAAAUACUCGGUACCGAUUUGUUCGCGAGAAGAUUGCAACCGUCGAGCUAGUGAAUCACAUACGAGUGAUAUUUCGAAAGAUCGAUGUGUUGUUGAACCUAAAAAGGUGGCUCUUACUCAACGCCGUUUAUCGCGCUAUUGGAGAGCAUACUUGGAAUGAACGUCGCAUAUUCAACUACUAUGUGAAGUUGUCUUACAGUUUGAAUGUGAUUAGUGGAUGCGCUGCAAGCGACCGAGUGUCACCGGUUGCUUUGCAAUGCGAGUGUAUAGAAGCUUCGUGCAGAGACAAAACAAUUGAGAAACAAAUCAAACAAAUCAGUUUAUAGCUUUUCGUUUUAAAAUCUUUAAUUCAGUAUAUAUACAUUCAAAGGAAUACUUAUAAUCAACUUAAAAAAAUUAAUAAUAAUUUUUUUAUAUAUGAAUAUCAACAUAAGUUAUAGUUUCUAAAAAAUAGUUUUUGAAAAUCACUCAGUAUUGUGUUCAUAUUUAAACAUUUAUUAUAAUUAUUUUUUUUGUGUCACAUGCGAUAUGAUAAUUAGAUUUUUAAAUGGUUAAAACAAAAUAAACUGCAGAUAUAGUGGAAAAUAACGCAUAAAGUGUUACUCGGAACAUAUGAUGUGCAAGCGCGAUUCGAAUGACACCUAAGAUCCACGUCUGAUGACAAACGUGAACAGGAUCAGGGUGGUCGUCCUCGGCGGCCCCAGAGUUGGAAAAUCAGCCGUGGUAGUACGCUAUUUGACGAGGCGAUAUAUUGGCGAAUACAGCUCAACCAGUGAUUUCCUGUAUCGGCACAGCGUUACCAUCGAUAAUGUUAGUACCGAAGUCGAGAUACUGGACACUUCCAGGUGCGAGGAAAAUGGUUGUCUAUAUUCCCAUAUAAGAUGGGGCGAGGCUUUCGUAAUCGUUUACAGUGUAACGUGCAAACGAAGUUUUCAGGAAGCUCGUGGAUUGCUGAAGCAACUGGCUGAUUUACGUCUGCCAUCCUACUUCACUGCACUGUUGCUCGGCAAUAAGAGAGAUCUGGAUCAUGCUCGAGAGGUAUGCGUGGACGAGGGCCAGCAACUAUCCCUGGCGCAUGGAUGUCAAUUUUACGAGGUUAGUGCGGCGGAAAGUCCUGCGGGGGCAGCACUGGCGUUCCAAGCGCUGCUCCGCGAGGCAAGAUCGGUUCAAUUGCUCCGAGCACUUCCUAUCCGUCGGAAAUUGGGUGUCCAUUCGGUCUCGAGGGUGCUCGGCACCAUCUUUGGCAAGAAUACGACGAAGGACCGCAAAAAGAGGCCUUCGUUAAGCAUAUGACGCCUCCUCUGCGCCCUCCUCCUCGGAGGUCGUGACGAACCUGAUAGAAGGACCGAUGUGAUCGUUCUUACCAGUAACGUCUAUUCGAACCGUUGACGAGGACAUGGAAAACGAUCAUCUGACCAACAGUGGAUUAACAGUCGCCGAUCUUCCGCCUUUUGAUGUCUUCUGAAAAAGAAAGUUCCUGGCGUUUUGAUUCGGUUUCAAGACUGAUAUAGAGAAACAUUGGGACGUUGUCUGGCGGACAGAUCUACCACACCAUCAUAAUUUUGUUGACUGUUCGUCAUUGGGUGAGGAGAGGGAGAGGGUGCAGGAGACGCGUAUCUGGCGAACAUCAGCUCCGUUUCACGCGGUUUAUAAGAAUAUUUCGGGAGUUCGAUCGGAAAACGAGAGAAUUAUUUGCUGGAGAGUAUUUGUCUAGCGUUUCACUUGAAAUUCUCAGGACAUUUUCGUUCAAUCAUCCGUGAAGGGAAAAUAUCCGUGAGAAAAUCGUGUGAAAGACUGUCGCGAGCGUGGAAAAGUGGAUAAAUGACCUAAUAAAAUCGGGCCAAGAACCGAGUUACUUUGUCUCCGUCGUAUUUCAUGUUCUUACUCUUUCUUUUUCUUUCUUUUUUCUCUAUUUUCUUCCAUUCUUUUACUUUUUCUAUAUAUCUUUUUCGUUCUUAGAGCGAUUAAAUUAAGUGUCUUUUCUUCGAGGAAUAGAGCCUCGAGGUGUCAGUUUUGCCGGAUCUCAACGGUUCGAGGAUACCGUACUGCACGUGUGACUGCUGUUCCUGAACGUAGCUUUAACUGGAAGUCGAAAUAUGACUCUCAUCAGGUGUUUUUUCAGAAUCAAUAGUUUUUGAAAUUUUUAUUAAUUUUAUCAAGUAUUUGG
rnacentral:misc_RNA from 1 species